ACAGAGAGCUUGCUCUCGGGUGACGAGCGGCGGACGGGUGAGUAAUGUCUGGGAAACUGCCUGAUGGAGGGGGAUAACUACUGGAAACGGUAGCUAAUACCGCAUAACGUCGCAAGACCAAAGUGGGGGACCUUCGGGCCUCAUGCCAUCAGAUGUGCCCAGAUGGGAUUAGCUAGUAGGUGGGGUAACGGCUCACCUAGGCGACGAUCCCUAGCUGGUCUGAGAGGAUGACCAGCCACACUGGAACUGAGACACGGUCCAGACUCCUACGGGAGGCAGCAGUGGGGAAUAUUGCACAAUGGGCGCAAGCCUGAUGCAGCCAUGCCGCGUGUGUGAAGAAGGCCUUCGGGUUGUAAAGCACUUUCAGCGGGGAGGAAGGCGAUGAGGUUAAUAACCUUGUCGAUUGACGUUACCCGCAGAAGAAGCACCGGCUAACUCCGUGCCAGCAGCCGCGGUAAUACGGAGGGUGCAAGCGUUAAUCGGAAUUACUGGGCGUAAAGCGCACGCAGGCGGUCUGUCAAGUCGGAUGUGAAAUCCCCGGGCUCAACCUGGGAACUGCAUUCGAAACUGGCAGGCUAGAGUCUUGUAGAGGGGGGUAGAAUUCCAGGUGUAGCGGUGAAAUGCGUAGAGAUCUGGAGGAAUACCGGUGGCGAAGGCGGCCCCCUGGACAAAGACUGACGCUCAGGUGCGAAAGCGUGGGGAGCAAACAGGAUUAGAUACCCUGGUAGUCCACGCUGUAAACGAUGUCGAUUUGGAGGUUGUGCCCUUGAGGCGUGGCUUCCGGAGCUAACGCGUUAAAUCGACCGCCUGGGGAGUACGGCCGCAAGGUUAAAACUCAAAUGAAUUGACGGGGGCCCGCACAAGCGGUGGAGCAUGUGGUUUAAUUCGAUGCAACGCGAAGAACCUUACCUGGUCUUGACAUCCACAGAACUUUCCAGAGAUGGAUUGGUGCCUUCGGGAACUGUGA
rnacentral:rRNA from 1 species